rnacentral:rRNA from 1 species
GAUGAACGCUGGCGGCGUGCUUAACACAUGCAAGUCGAACGGAGAAUUGAAGCUUGCUUUAAUUCUUAGUGGCGGACGGGUGAGUAACGCGUGGGUAACCUGCCCUUAAGUGGGGGACAACAGUUGGAAACGACUGCUAAUACCGCAUAAAGUUAAGAGCCUGCAUGGGCUUUUAACCAAAGGUGUAAUCCGCUUUUGGAUGGACCCGCGUCUGAUUAGCUAGUUGGUGAGGUAACGGCUCACCAAGGCGACGAUCAGUAGCCGGCCUGAGAGGGUGAUCGGCCACACUGGGACUGAGACACGGCCCAGACUCCUACGGGAGGCAGCAGUGGGGAAUCUUCCGCAAUGGACGAAAGUCUGACGGAGCAACGCCGCGUGAGGGAUGAAGGCCUUCGGGUUGUAAACCUCUGUCUUCAGGGAAGAAAAUAAUGACGGUACCUGAGGAGGAAGCCCCGGCUAACUACGUGCCAGCCGCCGCCGUAA